rnacentral:lncRNA from 1 species
UUUCAUCUCUCUCAAACCGAAACCUUAGAAGACCCGCCGCCCUAAAAUUCCUAAGCCUCCACCGGCCGGCGGCGUGGCCCUGUCAACCCCAAAUACCUACCUCACAAUUACCACCCACACUUUAUUCCUAAUCCACCACCACAUCUCCCAAAAUCUCCACCAAAUCUGACCAGUUUUAGAUCUAAGAAAAAAAGAAUAGAAAAAUCUUCCAUUUCUUCAAAUUUCCAAGAACGAUCGAGCCUGAAAUUUGUAUUGGUCGUUUGUUCUCUCAAGAGAGUACAAUUAAUACCAAUAUCGAUUCAAAUCGGAAAGUGCCAGAGGUCCGUUCAAGCCAACUGUCCGUCUGCCUAUUUUAGGUAUCUCCAUUCAUAUUUUUUCCGUCCUUUGUUUUAUUCCCAUCCUCAUCCCCUUCUGAUUCUUUGUUUUUCUGUCUUGUUUUAAAUCGUUUUUGCUUGUAUGUUAGGAUUAAGUCAUGUUAUUUUAUAGUAUUUAGCUUAAUAAUACGGUCAACAUUAUUGUUAGUUCAUUUGAUUUCAUUGUUUGAUUUUGUUUAAUCCUACUUUUAUCUUUGUUUCUUUGGAAUUAUGAAAUCAGGAGUGUAUAACUCCGUUGGCCUAUUUUCUUGCGGGUUAUUGGUUUUGAAUUAAAAUUUGGGCUUUAUAGGUUAGAAGCCCAAAGAGGGGAAGGAUCAAUUCUGGCUGUCAAGCCCAUGGCUUAGGUUUGGGAUUUGGGUUAAUUUGACCCAUGUUUAAUUUCCUGAAGGUAAAUAACAAAAGAUUAAAGAGUAUUUAGGGCAUUUUUUUAUUGGAAAAAUCUUUCACAACUGCCUGGGAAAUUUUCAGGAAGGUGGGAUUGGGGGUGGUUUAACAAACAGGCUUAAAACUUGGGGUCUGAGGUGAAAAAAAAUGAAAUUGGGGAAGGGGUAAAUGGUGAAGUUAAGAAUCAGAUUUUGCUGCCCUAGAAUUUGUCCAUAAAAAGGCCACUUCCUACAUUCUUCUAGGAGAGAUUUGAAAAAUAGAAACGGCUAAAACUUUUCUUAAAGAUAUCAGUGCUAGUCUUCAACUUUUCCAUUCUUUUCUCUUCAAAAGUUAAAGGGAAACUCCCUAUUCGAUUUCUAGUGAUUUGGCAUGAAUGAAAUGACGUAAUUUGAAGCUAACAUUGAUUAAUGAUGCUGAUCUUUGCUGCUAGUUUUGCUGCUUCUUUUGUUCUUUAUCGAGCUCAAUGUUUAUUCCUUUGUUGUCUCUUGUUGCUCCAGGUAUUCAUUCGAAACUUGAGUGAUAAAUGAAGAUUGAAUGUGCUUGUGUGAAAGAUGUGUUUCUGCAGAAGUUAAUGAAGAUUGUUUUUGGAUCUUAUUUUUCAUAUGUUCUUUUAAGCCAUUCAGUUUCCCCCUCAUUUCUUCCCUUCUAUCUCCUUUUUAUUAUGUGUAAGUCUGUUAUGUUCAUCCUUGGCUCAUGAAGUUAUUCAGUGGCAAAUACUUAGUAAUCCAUGCUUUAGGUGUUAAAUCUGUGUAAUAGUUCAGAGUGAAAUCAUGAUAGAAUCAGCUCGUUUGCUCUAUUUCUUUCUGUUGAAU